rnacentral:rRNA from 1 species
CCUACGAGUGGCUGCAGUGAGGAAUAUUGGUCAAUGGGCGCGAGCCUGAACCAGCCAAGUCGCGUGAAGGAUGACUGCCCUACGGGUUGUCAACUUCUUUUAUAAAGGAAUAAAGUGAGGCACGUGUGCCUUUUUGUAUGUACUUUAUGAAUAAGGAUCGGCUAACUCCGUGCCAGCAGCCGCGGUAAUACGGAGGAUCCGAGCUUUAUCCGGAUUUAUUUUGUUUAAAGGGAGCGUAGAUGGGUUGUUAAGUCAGUUGUGAAAGUUUUCGGCUCAACCGUAAAAUUGCAAUUGAUACUGGCAGUCGUGAGUACAGUUGAGGUAGGCGGAAUUCGUGGUGUAGCGGUGAAAUGCUUAGAUAUCACGAAGAACUCCGAUGGCGAAGGCAGCUUACUAAACUGCCACUGACAUUGAUGCUCGAAAGUGUGGGUAUCAAACAGGAUUAGAUACCCCAGUAGUC